CUGCAAACAGGGGCGUGUGGUCACACCUCCUGGGUUACCUGUCAGCAGAUAAAGUGAAAUACUGAGCAUUUUACCUCAAGGCGGCUGCUCUGUCACCAGCUGAAGUGAAAUACUGAUUAUUUUACCUCAAGGCGGCUGCUGAUAUCCCCUGCCUGGACUUUACGUGAAAGAACCGUUUACCGCCGCGGAGCCAUCCCGCCUCCGGGAGGUUCUGCCUCAGGAUUGCCCUCUCAAAGCCGCUCCCCAAGGCUCCGGCCGGUCCCCCUGCUCCUCCGGGACACCCUCCCGGUGCCACAGGUGCCACAAACCGAAGCGGAGCGGGGCGGUGGCGGCGGGCGGGCCCGGGGCGCGGGGGAGCCGCCCCGCUCUGAGGAAGGCGGCGCCGCCAUUGGUCCCGGCGGCGGCGGGACGGGGCUGCCUUUCCCCGCCGCCUCCCUUCCCCUCAGACAAGCGGGGAGCAGCGGCUGCCGGGCGGGACGAGGGGAUGUUUUGUUUGUUCUUAAACACUGGAUGUGCUGGGUCAAUGAACUGUUACUCCAGGAAGCAGAGCUGAGAGGACAAGCUGAGAAGACACCAUUAUGAUGGCAAGCAGGAAUACAAUGUUUUGUCAAAAGUCCCUCAUCUAGGGAAGCACGUGCAUACUCUACUGCAAGAAAGCAAUAUUUGGGGCUCUUUAAACCCCUGACUGUAACCUGGUUCAGUUUUCUCAGUGCCUGCUGGAAGAGACUUAUCUUUUUCCAUACCUUUAAAGUGGACUACAAGCCUAUCCUCAGCAGGAUUUAAGAUCUUCCUGGACACGCCACCAGCCCCCCCCUCACACAAGAAGAUGAUUGACCUAAGCUUCCUAACAGAGGAGGAACAAGAGGCAAUAAUGAAGGUGCUGCAACGGGAUGCAGAACUAAAGAGAGCUGAAGAAGAGAGAGUCAGGUAAGGGAUUUAGCACCUGGGAAGACCUACACAGUCCAUCUUCUGAAGUUAUUCAGAGCAUAGGAGUAGAUAAAAACAGUUGUUGCUGGGGGACCCAUAUUCCACGAUAUAUGUGGUUUAGAGAUUUUUACUGUGGACUAAAUUUAGUACAGUGUGCGGAUAAAAUGCCUCUACCACACAAAUGAUUCGUUACUGGCCAAAAGACUUAACUGUUGAUUUGGACCCUUACAAGUCCCAAGGGCCAAGCACACCUAGUAC
rnacentral:lncRNA from 1 species